UGCACACACACACACGGUCAGCCCAGAGGAUGCCAGGAGGACUGCGAGUGAAGCGUCAGUGGUCGUGCGCUAGGCCUGACGCCAUCCCCAGAGUGGGCCGGCCGUCCCCUUGCUGUUCAUCUGUUUCUCCAGGAGCUCGUGAAGCGGCGUUGAGGCCGCAUCGAGGCCGCACCCGAGAACAGCCGUGCUCUGCAGAGGCGUUCGGUCUCCCCGUCAGCUGCCAAGUCACCUAGGUUUGAAUCCACUCCCUGCUGCUCCCCUCAGGGGCUGGUGAGCCCUGCCUGCUGCCCACCGCGUGCAGCCUGUGAGCUCAGGAUGGUUUUCCCUUUUUAACUGGUUGAAAACAACCAAAGGAAUAUUAAUUCUCCGCAUGAGAAUUCUGUGAAAUGCGGUGUCUGUGUUUCUCGGGUGUUGUCUGCAGCUGCGCUCACACCACCAGGGCAGAGCUGACCGGUGACAAAGGUGCCGCGGACCCGCAAAGCCUGAGCUACUCACCAUCUGCUCCCCGACAGAAAAGAUUCUGAGAAAGUAGAGCAGCGGAUAUAAGCAGACUCCCUUGGGCUGAUAUUUGAAGAGACAUCAGCUCAGAGUAUCAUCUCCACGGCUGAACCUUGCC